rnacentral:rRNA from 1 species
AUACGAAGGGGGCUAGCGUUGCUCGGAAUGACUGGGCGUAAAGGGCGCGUAGGCGGUAUGGACAGUCAGAUGUGAAAUUCCUGGGCUUAACCUGGGAGCUGCAUUUGAGACGUUAAGGCUAGAGUGUGAGAGAGGGUUGUGGAAUUCCCAGUGUAGAGGUGAAAUUCGUAGAUAUUGGGAAGAACACCGGUGGCGAAGGCGGCAACCUGGCUCAUUACUGACGCUGAGGCGCGAAAGCGU